ACAUAAUCUGACUUGUCGGAGUAUC
rnacentral:guide_RNA from 1 species